UACAGAGGUGGCAAGCGUUGUUCGGAUUUAUUGGGCGUAAAGGGUUCGUAGGCGGACCGGAAAGUCAGAUGUGAAAUCCCACAGCUCAACUGUGGAACUGCAUUUGAAACUUCCGGACUAGAGUGUGAGAGGGGUAAAGGGAAUUCCCGGUGUAAGGGUGAAAUCUGCAGAGAUCGGGAGGAACACCAGUCGCGAAGGCGCUUUACUGGCUCACUACUGACGCUCAGGAACGAAAGCUAGGGUAGCAAACGGGAUUAGAUACCCCGGUAGUCCUAGCCGUAAACUAUGGUCACUAGGUGUUGGGAGGGUUAAACCUUUCAGUGCCGUCGCUCACGCAUUAAGUGACCCGCCUGGGGAGUACGGUCGCAAGGCUGAA
rnacentral:rRNA from 1 species